rnacentral:misc_RNA from 1 species
UGUGGUCAAUAGAUUGUGGUU